UGAAACCCUGUCUCUACUAAAAAUACAAAAAAUUAGCCGGGUGUGGUGGAACACUCCUGUAAUCCCAGCUACUCAGGAGGCUGAGGCAGGAGAAUUGCUUGAACCCAGGAGAAGGAGGUUGCAGUGAGCCAAGAUCAUGCCAUUGCACUCCAGCCUGGGCAACAGAGAAAGACUCCGUUUUGAAAAUAAAUAAGUAAACAAACAAACAUUUGUACCAGGAGCAGCGCUGGUGGGCAUGGGUCUGGUAGGAGGGAGCUAAAUGGAGUGUCCCAUCAGUGUGCUUAGAGGCAAGAGAGGAAUCCAGAGCCCUGACUAAGAGCUGCCAGGGCAGGAUUCCUGGCUCAUGAAUUUGUGAAUCAACACUUGGUUGGGCAGCUGGAAUGUGGUGGGAAUGAGAAAGAGGCAAGUUCCAGGAAGAGGUUCUCCUGUUCAGAACAAGGGCUAGCUGUGGCUGGUGGACUGACAGGGCAAAGGGGAGCCAUGUGGGGGCUCCUGGACCUCAGGAAGGAGGCUGGGGUCUUAGGACUAUGGCUGGGGCUAAAAGAGCAGCCCCGGCCCUGAGAGGAGGCCACAGGGACACCAAGGCCAGGGGCUGACAGGGGGAGGGGAUAUCUCAAAAGUUGUUGGAAAUGCCAGAUAUGGCUCAUCCAGUGCCGGAUCUUGCUGGGCACCUGCCAGCUGCUAAGGAUUGUGAGGCCAUGGCUGAAGCUGGGAGGGAGCGGAACAGGAGGAAGCAAAUUAGCUGCCGGACACAGUUUAACCAAGGGCUCCUUGACCUCUCCUGGGGCCAGUGGGGGUGGGGCCUGGCUCCCAGGCCCAGCUCUGAGCCUGUGGCCUCCCUCCUUCUUCCAGGCCCAUCUUCCCUUGGCCUGAGUGACACGGCACUGACCUGCUCCUGCUCUUACUGCUCUGGCUGCCCCCUACAGUUCCACUCCUGGGCAUCUCUUCCCUCCUUUAACUGAUGGCUCCAUCUUAAAGAGAGUAGAAGUGACUUCACCCACCCUAUGGCCUAGAGGCCCAAACAUGAAGCUCCUGGGCAACAGGAUUUGGUUUUAUUAAAGAGCUGCCAAGUUCCUUUGCCUUGAUGUGAGUAUGGGGAUCAGGCGGCCUGGCUAAGCUGGUCAGAGGGAGCAUUUCCAGAGGUCAGAGCACAGUCUCCAUGGAAACCAGGGCUCUGCAUACCCAGGAGGACCCAGGGACAGCAGGAGGACCAGUGAGAAAGGUGGAGUGCUGAGGAGAGAACACUGGGGUGCAGGCAGGGCCAUCAGGUUGAAACCCACCCCCACUUCCCCAACUCCUACACAGAGUCCCUCCUCCACCCAGCUGGGAGAACCAGAGCUCAGCCUACAGGGAACAGACAGGGCUCCUUUCAUCCUGCAGCAGAUGCUGUGCCUCCUACGCCCCUCCUGGGCCUCAGGAAGGGGGCUGGGGGUUCUAGGGCUAUGGCUGGGGCUGAAAGAGCAGCCCCGGCCCUGAGAGGACCCACAGGGACACCAAGGCUGGGGGCUGCCUGUGCCACUUAGCACUCUCAUCCCCACACCUCUGCAGCUUCUCACUGUGGGACCCUGGGUUUCUGCCCUGGGGUUUCUCUGGCCUUUGGAGCACACUUGGCCAGAAGUGCCAGAAAGUUUGAGGAUCAGCCUUUAACCGAUGACAGCUGGAGUUGGUGACCAACUGCUCCAGUUUCCUUGCCUUUUGGGUGGGACCUCCCUGUGGCAGGUUCUGCGCAGUCUCCCACGGGUUCCCCACAGGACUGACCCACAGUGAUGACCUGCUCGGCAGCCACCAUGGCUUUCUUCUUUUCCCUGGAUCACCUCUGAAAUAAAUGAUUUGUACUUAAAUGUUUGCCUCAGGAUCAGCUUCUGGAGGAACCCAAACUGAGAAUCCCCUCUCUCUCCCUCACAUUCGCAUCCAAUCUGCCUGAUUCUGCUGAUUCUACCUCCUUAAAAAGCCCUCAAGGCCAGGUGUGGUGGCUCAUGCCUGUAAUGCUACCACUCUGGGAAGCCGAGGUGGGAGGAUCACUUGAGCCCAGGAGUUCAAGACCAGCCUGGGCAACACGGCAAAAGCCUAUCUCUACCAAAAAAAUUAAAAAAAUAAAAAAAUAAAAAUUAGCCAGGCAUGGUGGCAUGCAUCUGUAGUCCCAGCUACUUCUCGGGAGGCUGAGGUGGGAGGAUCACCAGAGCCCGGGAGGCAGAGGUUGCAGUGAGCAGAGAUUGUGACACUGCACUCCAGCCUGGGCAACAGAACCAGACCCCCAUCUCAAAAGAAAAGUUCUCAAAUCCACCUUCUAAUCAUCUCCCAUAUAUCACUCCUCCUCCAUCCCCACUGCCCUGGCCACCUGCCUGGACUACUGGCCCAGCCUCCUCACCGACCCACUGCCUCUGCACAUCAGCCAGCAUAAGUCAGCUUUCUAAAACACACCUCUGGGCCUCUCCCCAGGUCCCACCCUGCUUAAAUCCUACCAUGGUUCCCAUUGCCCUCAGGAUAAACCAAGCUUCCCAGCCUGGCAUCGAGACCCUGAAAGGACUGGUCCCUGCCCUCUCUACAGCUCUCUUAUGCCACUCCCCUCUUCCACUGGACUGCCCAGUAGGACUGAACUUCUUGAGGUUCUCAGAGUUGGCCAUGAUCAACCCCACCUCCUGGUCUUCACAAGCUGUCCCCUCUUGUAAACAGGAACAUCUUCCUCCUACUUUACCCAAACAAUUCUAGUUGUUCUUGAACACAGCCUAAGACACAACUUGUGCCUUAACCACCCCUGUUCUCCCUGCUCUAGGGCUGGGUGGGCUGGGGGUCCCUCAGAGCUCCUAUGUAUCUUCAUGUCUCUCUGGCCCAAUGCCCACCAGGUUCUGGUCUGUUCUCCUCCACACUGGGCAUUUCUGAAGGACACUAGCCAUGAACAACUCAUCUUUUUUCUUCCCCGGGCCUAGGCACAUAGCAGGUGUCAGAGAAUAAAUGAGUGAUGAUGAUGACUUUAAAUCUCCAAAGAAUUAUGCCCUGGAAAAACUCCUUGGCUGGUGGAGGAGAAGUGUGAAGAAAAACAACACCAGGCCAGAGUGAUCAGGGUGUUACAAAGGCCAACACUUGGACUUGGGAGCCCAGAGGAGGCCUCAGCCCUGACUGGCAGAGAGGUAGCCAGAGAAGGCUUUGGAGGGGAGGUGGCUCCUCUGUGUGCUGGCCCUGCCCAUCCUCUUUGUCUUUGCAGAGUGUGCUAGGGAGCUGGGGAGUCAGGAGGGAAAUAGAAAGCAGCAUAGAUCC
rnacentral:lncRNA from 1 species